rnacentral:rRNA from 1 species
AGUGAACGCUGGCGGCAGGCCUAACACAUGCAAGUCGAGCGGCAGCGGGUCCCCGCGAGGGGAUGCCGGCGAGCGGCGGACGGGUGAGGAACACAUCGGAAUCUGCCUGGUUGUGGGGGAUAACGUAGGGAAACUUACGCUAAUACCGCAUGCGACCCUGAGUCGACGGACUUGGGGUGAAAGUGAGGGACCUUCGGGCCUCACGCGACCAGAUGAGCCGAUGUCGGAUAGCUAGUUGGCGGGGUAACGGCCCGCCAAGGCGACGAUCCGUAGCUGGUCUGAGAGGAUGAUCAGCCACACUGGGACUGAGACA